AGAAACCAUAUUCCAAUUUCCAACAAGUAUAGGCAAAACAUUACAAAAUGCAGCAGUAAACAACUAAUGGCUAACCAACGAAACAGUCAUUGCCAUGCCAGAAGGUUAUGCAUGUUCCAAAUCCCCUGAUCAGUAUUUGCUAUUAUUACUCUCCUGCUAUCGUAUUCUUCAAUUUUAGUAUCAACUUACUGUUGUUUUCAUUGCUUCAAUUUGCACUAUGUUCCCCUAGCACUUCCUUUUGUUGUUGUUACUGCUAACAUU
rnacentral:misc_RNA from 1 species